UAUGUGACGGUUUGGCCGGUGUUCAGUGCGUGCACUCGGCACUCACUCAGCUCACUGCACUGCAGUGUUGUUAAAUUUACCUCUUGCCUCAAGCCACGAAGCCACCCCUGCCAGUCAGCCACGCAUUACGCAUUAUUUUUUCAUGAAUAAUAAUAUGUAAUUGUUUGUUCUUACAUAUUCGUGCAAGGAGUACCUACAUAGGGUGAAAGGACUAGGAGCCGACUAGGAGGGUUUUGAAGUGGUAGCCAGGCAUCGGCUAAUCUGGUCCAGGCCUUCCAGGGUCUCUCAGGCUAGGUUCAUCGAGUUGAAUUUCCUGAAUAUUCUGGUUUUUGAUGUUGACAUUGAGCUGGACAAUUUUUAGAAUUGAGGAAAAAAACGGAAAACCUGGUUGAAACGACGUACAUAAAUAUUUAUGUGCCCUACCAUACUAUCCGCUGGGAGGCGCAUUGCCACUGACUCGCCACUUGCUGGUUUUCACACCUAGCCAGCGGCUUGUGGAACAAAUAUCUGGCAUUAAAAUUGAAGACCUGAAUUGACACGUUUGUCCUCCGCAGCUCGUCUGCGACCACCCAGGCCCCGUGUUAUCCGCUAGGCAGUGUAAUUGGGACCAGGUGAACGCAUAGCUACAGAGAGGAUGUGCUGACAAUGAGCAGAAGUUAACAAAGACAUCACUCACACUCCUUGAAAUUGGAACUGAGGUCUUCUGGGUUCCAGAACGAUAGACUUCAAGCGCGGGGCUUCUUUCGCAACGAGUUGGAGGACUUCAAUUAGCAGCUUAUCAAUAAUGUUGUUGCACCCUUCCGUGCACACUGCAAGAAAAUAUUGUGUUCCUAAGUCAAUUGAAUAACAAAAGGGAGUGUAUAAAUUUUUGUUUUAACUUGACCGCAGUUUGCACAUGUUGUCUAUGGUGUGCUGUAAAAUUGCGCAUAUAGCUCUAGAAAAUAUUAUACAAUAAGUUUUAACUGUCAAAUUGAUUGUUGCCCUUGUCUUGCAACAUUACAUUGAAAUUUGAGUUUGUUUGUUGAGAUAUAUGUGCAGUUUUUGACGAUGAGCAGUUCUGCGAUAUUAGGAGUUGUUGAUUGGACGGUAUUUUUUUAGUGUUGAAAUUUUUAGGGUACACUUGAUAUGUGCUUAUUUUUUAAUAAAGUAAUUUUUCAAUAGAUGAAAUUGCAAAUUUGAAGCUCGGGAAUUGGGGUGUUCCCUAUUUUUUUUCGUAAUGUCCGAGCUUCCAAUUUGGAAUUUCACCAUCUAACAAGAAGUACACUUUUAAUUAAGCAAAUCAUGUGUCACCUAAAUAUUUUGACGCUAAAAGUAAUUGUCCAGUUGACCCCCAAUACCUUCGGAGAACUGCUCGCAUAAUAUAUAAUAAAGGUAAAGUAAAUACAAACCUUCAAGAGCUUCCAACGUUGGCACGACCUGAGGCAGUUGGAAGAAUACGUGGGCGUUUAACAUGCUCCACCGUGUCAGACUCAAAAGCUUCACCCUAAUUUUUUUCAGAUUUGGAGCUGCCCGAAGCAAGUAAAGCUCUUCCUGAGUGCGUCGUGCCAUUGACAAUUGGGUUUCAACCUCCUCGAUGCUAGGGGGAAGUGACACUAGCAGUCUCUCAUUCACACCGACUUUUUUCAAGUUCGGACAAUGAUCAAAAACCCUUUGAAGUUGGCAAGGAAGAGAGAAGAGGCUACUGGUGAACAGUUCCUCCAGCUUUGGCCCGUAAACCUGGAGCAUGCCGACGAGGUUGAAGAGGUUUCCAUCGUUCUUCGUCCAGGUUUAGCUGCACUUCGAGGCUAGUGGCAUGAUGACUGUGCCACUGCGCUUGCUCCGUGUUUAUAGGUUGAAGAAGAACUAGAAUCUCUAACCUGCUGCUCUCUCGUGGAAAGUUGACAGUUCUGUCGCCCAGAGAGUGGCAUAGCGUGCGAUGAUGCAACCAGGUGGAUUCUUGCCUCCGUCCCACUACUUUCAAUCUUGGAAAAUUAUGCAACAAGAUACACUCCAGGUCAUUUUGAUGGUAAGCAAGUCCAGCGACACAGUUUUUAAUGUUUUCUGCACCGACGGACGAGUAUAUAUUCACAUCCAAGCUGCGAAGCUGCUCGAAGUUCAUGCACAUCAUCCGAAACUCUACUUCGCUGAGCACAAAAUCUUCCAUUUUGAGGUGCCUCAGGUUUGAAAAAGACAGGAUUUGAUUGAAAAUUUCAGCCGGCAGUGUUGUCCAUGUGCAGCAACCGUGAACACUUAGCGACUCGAGCGAAUUCCUGCUGCUGGAGCUGAGUCUCUCUAGAAUAUGGCGCGUGGCUUUCUUCUCGAACACAGCAGAUCUCUCUUGAAGCCUUAUACGGAACGAUUUGGUCCAGUCAAAGUUAAAAUUAUCGACGAAAUUGGAAACAAGUGCCAACAAGACGUCCAUGAGAACCGUGGGUUGGAUAGGCUGUUGGUUCGGUUGCUCAUUAGCAAUCCAAAGCGCUAUCAAGAGAUCUUGCCGCAUGUCAUGUGGCAUUCUCUCGAGUUGACUUACCCAAAUUGUAAGUGCUGGGUGUAAAAUAUUCAGCAUACGAAUUGCUUGAACUGCCGUCGCCACACACAUGCUCUGCAGGCUUGAAACUUCCCUGGUUGCCGACAUAGUGCGGUGGAAAUUUGGGGGUGAAGAAGCGCUUGAGUCUUAUUCUAGACCACGUGGAUGAUCGUCACUUGCUCACGCUUACAUGUGAGCAAACUGCCUGCUUGUCCCUCUUUUUCUCUUCAAACUUGAAUAGACGUUUAAGUAUCUCAGGUUUAAGAACCAGGUGAGCAAAUUUAAAUCGUGAAUUAUGUUGUGUUCACUUAAGAAUGUAGAAAUUGAGAUUGUCCACACUAACUGAAAUGGUGGCCUCUUCUCGCGUGCGUCUGUUAAAGUAUCUUCCCUUAGCUUCACCAGCGGUGUGUAGGGGAGGUUUUAUAGCGCCCUGAACUGAAGCGCUCGUUAGUCCAGCGGCCGAGACUUGAAUUAAAAAAAAUCUUGACUAUAUUCAGGCUUUAAAAUUUGAAGUUAAAUAAUAAAUAUUAUAGUUAGGCUUUUUUCUCCUAAACAGAAACACGCCAUUCUAAAUCUUAUCUAUUUUUUGCGUUAUGAAAGAAUGAUAUAUUAUAUUUUGUGCAACUUUCAUACUAAUAAAAACACUAUUGGAUUAGUUAUAAUUAUCAACACAUUCAGCAUAAAGGCAUAUUUUAUUUAUGGAAAAUUUUUCCGUCUGGGUUUAACGUUGCUUCAAUUUUCAGUCAUAUAUAUUAUAAGAGGUGUAUCUUGUUUCCCCAGAAAAAAGCGAAGUUUUCUAGUUUUCUACUAUGGAUUUUAUUUUACUGAUUUUGCUUAUAGUAAAACAUUGACAUUUAUAAAUAGAGCAGUUCCCAGGAAUAUUUGGAGGUCGAUUUAACGGGAUAAUUCGGCGUUAACAUUUUUAGGUAACACUUGUAUUUGCUGUAUACUUGUUAACAGAUGGAGAUGGAUUUUUCAUAUUAUCUCAAAACAUCCCCGAAAAUCAAAAUUCGUGAAUGUAAAGUGGACUGCGUUUAAAGGUUUAAACUUGGAAUUCCACCAUCCAAUAGCAAGUUAUUUAAGCAAAUAUAAGAGUCAACUAAAAAUUGGAACGCCAAAAAAUGUCCAAUCGACCUCGAACUGCUGAAUGACAAUUUACAAUACAUACAAAAUAGCUGAUGAAAUUAUUAUACAUUAAUUACAUGAUGAUCCGCUCCAUUCCUUUCAUUAUAAAUAAAUCGUUUUCAGUCUCAAAUUCCAACUUUAUGAAAAAUGCGAUUCUUUGUAAAAAAUGGUAUUAAAUAAUUAAGUUCAUUA